rnacentral:rRNA from 1 species
UCGAUGGGCGAAGCUGACGGUACACGCCGCGUGAGGGAUGAAGGCCUCUGGGCUGUAAACCUCUUUUAUCAAGGAAGAAGAUCUGACGGUACUUGAUGAAUAAGCCACGGCUAAUUCCGUGCCAGCAGCCGCGGUAAUACGGGAGUGGCAAGCGUUAUCCGGAAUUAUUGGGCGUAAAGCGUCCGCAGGCGGUCUUUUAAGUCUGUCGUCAAAGCGUGGAGCUUAACUCCAUUUCUGCGAUGGAAACUGGAAGACUAGAGUGUGGUAGGGGCAGAGGGAAUUCCCGGUGUAGCGGUGAAAUGCGUAGAUAUCGGGAAGAACACCAGUGGCGAAGGCGCUCUGCUGGGCCAUAACUGACGCUCAUGGACGAAAGCCAGGGGAGCGAAAGGGAUUAGAUACCCCUGUAGUCCUGGCCGUAAACGAUGAACACUAGGUGUCGGGGGAAUCGACCCCCUCGGUGUCGUAGCCAACGCGUUAAGUGUUCCGCCUGGGGAGUACGCACGCAAGUGUGAAACUCAAAGGAAUUGACGGGGGCCCGCACAAGCGGUGGAGUAUGUGGUUUAAUUCGAUGCAACGCGAAGAA